ACCUCAUUGUGGCCUGAAGGAGCUGCAGGAAAGACAGAAGAGACCAGGACAAGGGACAAUGGCUUUAAACUCCAGAGGGCAGGGUUAGAGGGGAUUUUGGGAAGGAAUCCCUCCCUGUGAGGGGUGGCACAGGCUGCCCUGGCAUCCCUGGGAGUGUCCAAGGCCAGGUUGGACCGGGCUUGGAGCAAUCUGGGAUAGUGGGAGGUGUGGAACAGGACAGUUUUUAAGGUUCCUCCAACACACGUGCCCAGGUCAGUCCCACAAACCGCCAGAGAGGAGUCAGGGAUGGAGUUUGAGCUGUGUGGGUGUUUCUGGGUGUUUCAGGUUUUCCCAUUGGAUCCCGAAAAAGUGGAGCCGCGGCUCCUUGUUGUUACAGGGACGUAACAGGGGUGUUGUUACUCAGGGACAUUGUUACUCAGAGGUGUUGUUACUCAGGGAUGUUGCUACAGGGAUGUAACAGGGGUGUUGUUACUCAGGGAUGUUGUUACUCAGGGGUGUAAUGGGGAUGUUGUUACAGGGAUGUAACAGGGGUGUUGUUACUCAGGGAUGUUGUUACUCAGGGGGAUGUUGUUACUCAGGGGUGUAACAGGGAUGUAACGGAGAUGUUACUCAGGGAUUUUGUUACUCAGGGGUGUUGUUACUCAGGGGCGUAACAGGGAUGUAACGGAUAUGUUACUCAGGGAUAUUGUUACUCAGAGGUGUUGUUACUCAGGGAUGUUGUUACUCAGGGGCGUAACAAGGAGGUAACGGAGAUGUUGUUACUCAGGGAUAUUGUUACUCAGAGGUGUUGUUACUCAGGGAUGUUGUUACUCAGGGGUGUAACAAGGAGGUAACGGAGAUGUUGUUACUCAGGGAUAUUGUUACUCAGGGGUGUUGUUACUCAGGGAUGUUGUUACUCAGGGGUGUAACAGGGAUGUAACGGAGAUGUUGUUAGUCAGGGAUUUUGCUACUCAGAGGUGUAACAGGAAUGUUGUUACUCAGCCUGUUCAUCCUUCAGCAGCAAACGCAGCCAGGCUCUCACUCAGCACCCAGAGGUGAAGUGCUGCAGUGUCAGAUGGCUCCAGCCACAGGAAGCCCGGACAGACAGACAGACACUGCAGCAUGUGAGAGCCCCAGGGCAGCAGAUGUGACCAUGAGCAGAAAGAACUUCCCUGCUCCAGGUUUUAAUUAUCUGGCUGCUCUAAAGGAGCUCCUCUGUAGGGUUUGUGAUGGGAAGAAGCAGCGGCUGCAGGAGCAAAACAGGGAGGGGAAAGGGUGAGCAGAGCUGCUCAG